rnacentral:tRNA from 1 species
GCCCGGUUAGCUCAAUCGGUAGAGCGUGAGACUCUUAUCACGGCUCUGUUAGCAGCGGUUGCAAUCUCAAGGUUGCGGGUUCGACCCCCGCAUCGGGCU